CCGCUCUCUCCGCGGCGGGCGGACGUCUCUAUGGUUGGUUCCUGAGGCGCGACCGCCAUUUUGUACGGCGGCGUGGAGCCGUUCGCGGCUCUGGCGUGGUUGUGCUGCACCUGUGUGAGGAUAAGGGGCCGAAGCUGUGUAACCCUUGCCUCACCCGCCGUUAAUAGCCGUUAAUAAUUCUAGAUGUCCUUUGAACUCCCCGCACGUGCUGUGAGUUUCCCGCGGUGUGAGUUGAUUUGCUAAUGAGCUUCCCGCGGUGUGAGGUGGAAUAGGUCUCUGAAAACCCUAUAAAAACCCUGACCCUUGCCCUCUCGGGGCUGCUCUGUUCCUGCGUGGUCAGAGAGCCCCAGCACGCUGGUCUGAAUAAACCCCUUGCUGAUUGCA